ensembl:snoRNA
UGCAGAUGAUGUCUUUUCACGAUGGUCUUCCGGUGCUCACCCUGGGCACUGCUGAGAAAGCCACUUCCACAGCUGAUGGCGGAAG